GGGCAUCUCACUGGCAGUCAUGAAGUGCCAUCUAUUGGCAGGCAGGGGAACGGCAUCAUGAAAGUGCUGCAGUGCAACAGGGAAUUAAGUUUUUCAUUAUCCUGCAAGUCUAACAUAACGCCACAGGCUCAUGAAGCUUGUGCCACUGUGUUUCUUUUGGCCCCUUCCAUAAUUACAAACUCUUUUGAUUUUGAGAUGACACGGUACUGAAUUUUUUUUUUUUUUCUGAUUACUUAUUCAUAGCAACUGUCCUUACCUAAGUUUCACUCUCAGAGCUUUGUGUCUUUGUGUCUUUUCGUCCUGCUUUGGCUGUCAGUCACUGUCAGAGAUCUGCUCUGUUCAUAUAGGGGGAGAAGGGGGAGCCUGGAGUCCUGGGGGAAAAGGGGGAGAAAGGAGAAAGAGGAGAUCCUGUACGUAUUUUCCUGCACUGACAUUUACAAUGCCGCUGCGUUACAGAGUCAUUAACCGAGGCUUCCCUCCCUCUCCCACAGGGUCAGCCAGGUGCCGAGGGAUCCGGCGGCAUGAAAGGACAAAAAGGUGAUGUCGGCCCUCCUGGUCCUCCCGGUCCUGUGAUGACAGCACAUGGAUUAAGACAGCUUUCUGGAACUGACGAAAUGAAGGAAAGAGCCCUAAAAGGAGAAAAAGGAGAUGAG
ensembl:lncRNA